rnacentral:snRNA from 1 species
AACUAUGUCACAUCAAUUGGCUAUGAUCAAGUGUAGUAUCUGUUCUUAUCAGUGUGACAACUGAUACGGGUCCAACUGGACCCAACUAUGUGACAUCGUAAAAAAACU